UACGGGGGGUGCGAGCGUUGUCCGGAAUCACUGGGCGUCAAGGGCGCGUAGGUGGUUUGAUAAGGGUGUGGUGAAAGUCCGGGGCUCAACCCCGGAUCUGCCGUGCCGACUGUCAAACUCGAGGGCUGUAGAGGCAGACGGAAUUCCGGGUGUAGCGGUGGAAUGCGUAGAGAUCCGGAGGAAGACCGGUGGCGAAGGCGGUCUGCUGGGCAGUUUCUGACACUGAUGCGCGACAGCGUGGGGAGCAAACAGG
rnacentral:rRNA from 1 species